CAGCUGAUGUCCUCCCCCCUCGCCGGGCGGCCCCCAAGGGAGCCAUGUCUGCGGGGGGAGCACCCCAGCCUGCCCACGCCCUGAACCUGCUCCCUUACCCCAGGCUGACCGAGGUGCCGAGGGCCGGACACGACCUGGAUGGUGUCAGCGCGGAGAUCCCAUCCGACCCCUGCACAGGCUACAGAUUUUUCAAGCCCGGGGGGUUGUUCGGGAUUAAACAGUCAGAGGAGCCGUACACCGAAGGCCAGCAGAUGCAGGAGGAGAGCAAGAUCCUCGUGAGCCCCUGUGCGGUGGAGCCCGGUCGGGUG
rnacentral:lncRNA from 1 species